UUUCGGUUGAUCCUGCCGGCAAGGCCCGCUUUUGGAGUUCGAUUAAGCCAUGCGAGUCGAGAGCCUUAGGGGCUCGGCAUACUGCUCAGUAACACGUGGAUAACCUGCCCUAUUGUCUGGAAUAACCUCGGGAAACUGWGAACAAGGCCGGAUAACCCACAAUGCCUGGAACGGUUUGUGGGUGAAGAUAGGAUGGGUCUGCGGCGUAUCAGGUCGUAGGGGGUGUAAUGGACCUCCUAGCCAUCGACGCGUACGGGUGUUGGGAGACAUAGCCCGGAGAUGGAUUCUGAGACACGAAUCCAGACCCUACGGGGUGCAGCAGGCGCGAAAACUUCACACUGCAGGAAACUGUGAUGAGGGAACUCCAAGUGCAUUCACUUAUGUGUAUGCUUUUUUUGACUAUUAAUCGGUCAACGAAUAAGGGCUGGGAAAGACCGGUGCCAGCCGCCGCGGUAAUACCGGCAGCUCAAGUGGUCGUCGCUUUUAUUGGGCCUAAAACGUCCGUAGCCUGUUUGGUAAAUCUGUGGGUAAAUCAACCAGCUUAACUGGUUGAAUUCUGCAGAGACUGCCAGACUAGGGACCGGGAGAGGUGUGGGGUACUCUAGGGGUAGGGGUAAAAUCCUGUCAUCCUUAGAGGACCACCAGUUGCGAAGGCGCCACACUGGAACGGAUCCGACGGUCAGGGACGAAGCCUAGGGGCACGAACCGGAUUAGAUACCCGGGUAGUCCUAGGUGUAAACGCUGUGAACUUGGUGUCGGGGAUCCGCAAUGGGUCCUCGGUGCCGGAGUGAAGAUGUUAAGUUCACUGCCUGGGGNGUACGGUCGCAAGGCUGAAACUUAAAGGAAUUGGCGGGGGAGCACUGCAACGGGAGGAGNGUGCGGUUUAAUUGGACUCAACGCCGG
rnacentral:rRNA from 1 species